AGAGUUUGAUCAUGGCUCAGAGCGAACGCUGGCGGCAGGCCUAACACAUGCAAGUCGAGCGCCCGUAGCAAUACGGGAGCGGCAGACGGGAGAGUAACACGUGGGAACGCGCCCUUCGGUUCGGAAUAACUCAGGGAAACUUGAGCUAAUACCGGAUACGCCCUUACGGGGAAAGAUUCAUUGCCGAAGGAACGGCCCGCGUCCGAUUAGCUAGUGGUGAGGUAACGCUCACCNGGCGACGAUCGGUAGCUGGUCUGAGAGGAUGCCCAGCCUCAUUGGGACUGAGACACGGCCCAAAUCCUACGGGAGGCAGCAGUGGGGAAUAUUGGACAAUGGGCGCAAGCCUGAUCCAGCCAUGCCGCGUGAGUGAUGAAGGCCUUAGGGUUGUAAAGCUCUUUUAGCAGGGAAGAUAAAGACGGUACCUGCAGAAAAAGCCCCCGGCUAACUUCGUGCCAGCAGCCGCGGUAAUACGAAGGGGGCUAGCGUUGCUCGGAAUUACUGGGCGUAAAGCGCACGUAGGCGGCUUCUUAAGUCGGUGGUGAAAUCCUGGAGCUCAACUCCAGAACUGCCUUCGAUACUGGGAAGCUCGAGUCCGGGAGAGGUGAGUGGAACUGCGAGUGUAGAGGUGAAAUUCGUAGAUAUUCGCAAGAACACCAGUGGCGAAGGCGGCUCACUGGCCCGGUACUGACGCUGAGGUGCGAAAGCGUGGGGAGCAAACAGGAUUAGAUACCCUAGUAGUCC
rnacentral:rRNA from 1 species